UUGCUGUGAUGACGAUCUUAGGACACCUUUGGAACACCCAUGAAAAAAUGUUAUUUCUGAGCAAC
rnacentral:snoRNA from 1 species